GCCCCUCCCGCUAGGAUAAAGGGCGGGGCGGGGCUCGCACAAGACCUUAGAAGCCGCUGCCUCCCAGGAGCCGGCCGUGCGCUCCGGCGGAGCCUCCCGCCCCGGUGUCCUCGCGUGUCGUCCACAGCCCAGACAGCCUCCCGCCAUUCCUGUAACUGGACAACCAGAAGACUUACAAACAUGUCUGAGUUUUGGCUUAUUUCGGCCCCUGGCGACAAGGAAAAUUUACAAGCUCUGGAGAGGAUGAACAAUGUAACCUCAAAGUCUAACCUGUCCCACAACACCAAGUUCACUAUCCCUGACUUCAAGGUGGGGACUUUGGAUUCCCUUGUUGGUCUCUCUGAUGAGUUGGGGAAACUUGAUACCUUUGCUGAAAGCCUCAUAAAGAGGAUGGCGCAGAGUGUGGUGGAGGUCAUGGAGGACUCCAAGGGCAAGGUACACGAGAACCUCCUGGCUAAUGGAGGUCUGAAGGAAAAGAUGAAAUGUUUAAAGAUUGACUUGACAUCCUUUGUGACGCACUUCGAGUGGGACAUGGCCAAAUAUCCUGCCAAGCAGCCACUGGUGAAUGUGGUGGACACACUGGCCAAGGUCACUAGAAGCAUUUCUCCUGCCUCUCCCUCCCAGCAACUGGCACAAAUCGAGACGGACCUGAAGUCCCGCACAGCUGCCUACAGUGUUCUGAAGGCAAACCUGGAGAACUUGGAAAAGAAAUGCACGGGGAACCUCUUCACUCGGACACUGAGCGAUAUUGUCAGCAAGGAAGACUUCGUCCUUGAUUCUGAAUACCUCAUAACCCUACUGGUCAUUGUCCCCAAGUCAAGCUAUGCACAAUGGCAAAAGACAUAUGAGUCCCUAUCGGACAUGGUGGUCCCUCGGUCAACCAAAUUGAUCACCGAGGACAACGAAGGGGGCCUCUUCACAGUGACUCUCUUCCGCAAAGUGAUCGAAGAUUUCAAAGUCAAAGCCAAAGAAAACAAGUUCACUGUCCGGGAAUUUUACUAUGAUGAAAAAGAAAUUAAAAGAGAGAGGGAAGAGAUGAACCGGCUGCAGUCUGAUAAGAAACAACAGUAUCAAACUUCCUGUGUUGCUCUUAAAAAGGGAUCAGCCACCUACCGGGACCACAAGGUUAAGGUAACCCCGCUAGGUAACCCUGCUAGGCCUGCUGCGGGGCAGACCGACAGAGACAGAGAGAGUGAGGGCGAGGGUGAGGUAAGCAUUCCAGGGAACCCUGGGGGGUCCCUGGCUCAAUUCUCUCCCCAGCGGAGGCUCCUCUAAGGAUCAAAUCUUUGCAUUUGCUGUUGUUUCCUCUGGCUUGUGAGGGCUGGAAUUAGAGCCCAGAAUCCCAUUGUCCUAACCUUCAUGGGCUUUCUGGAGCUGACUCUCCAGGCAGGGAAUGGGGCUUGUUGGCUGGAGGAAUGCCUGUGCCCUGGCUGAAGGUGGCUGGAGCUGGUGACUGGUGAUGGGCAGGGCUCUGGCUGGAGGGUGGGUGGUUUGGUCACUCAGCUUGCCUCCCUGACAGCCCUGGCUGGGCCACCUCUAGCUUUACUCAGCAGCUAGAAGUGUCAGAUCGGAGCUGCCCCAAAGCACAUCAGGCUCAGCAGCAGCAGCUAUGGCCUACAUGGGACUGUAAGAGCCCUGGCGUGGGUGUCUGGAUGGGCUAGAUUCUUCGGGCAGUGCCUUCCUAUGAGGGACCUCUGCUUCGAUGGCUCAAAGUGAACUUCAGCGAGGCCUUUAUAGCCUGGAUUCACAUAAAGGCCCUGAGAGUAUUUGUGGAGUCUGUGCUCAGGUACGGACUUCCAGUG